CGGGGUGUGGCUCAGUUGGUAGAGCGCUGCGUUUGGGACGCAGAGGCCCUCGGUUCGAAUCCGAGCACCCCGA
rfam:Microgenomates (Woesebacteria) bacterium GW2011_GWA2_33_28 TR38_C0013, whole genome shotgun sequence.